rnacentral:rRNA from 1 species
UACGUAGGUGGCAAGCGUUAUCCGGAUUUAUUGGGUGUAAAGGGCGUGUAGGCGGGAGCGCAAGUCAGAUGUGAAAACUCAGGGCUCAACCCUGAGCCUGCAUUUGAAACUGUGUUUCUUGAGUGCUGGAGAGGCAAUCGGAAUUCCGUGUGUGGCGGUGAAAUGCGUAGAUAUACGGAGGAACACCAGUGGCGAAGGCGGAUUGCUGGACAGUAACUGACGCUGAGGCGCGAAAGCGUGGGGAGCAAACAGG